rnacentral:rRNA from 1 species
ACAUGCAAGUCGUACGAAGUGGCCCAUUGAUGAUUGAGUGCUUGCACUAAGAUUUGAUUUGGAUUCCCACUUAGUGGCGCAAGGGUGAGUAACGCGUAGGUUAUCUGCCUUCGAGUUUGGAAUAACAAUUAGAAAUGAUUGCUAAUGCCGGAUUAUAUUUAAGAUGAUACGUUGUCUUAAAUUAAAGGAGCCUUUAAAGCUUCGCUUGAAGAUGAGCCUGCGUCGUAUUAGCUAGUUGGUGGGGUAAUGGCCUACCAAGGCAACGAUGCGUAGCCGACCUGAGAGGGUGAUCGGCCACACUGGGACUGAGACACGGCCCAGACUCCUACGGGAGACAGCAGUUAGGAAUAUUCGUCAAUGGGGGAAACCCUGAACGAGCAAUGCCGCGUGAAGGAUGACGGUCCUUUGGAUUGUAAACUUCUGUUGUUAGGGAAGAACAAGCUGUAUAGGAAAUGAUACAGUUCUGACGGUACCUUUCAAGAAAGCUCCGGCUAACUACGUG